GGAGAAGGACAAGAAGAAAAAAAAGAUUGGCAACAAAUGUUAGCACAGGUGCCAAUCUUUAAAAAAUAAAUCAUUUGGAGAAGGAGUCUGUGGGUUUCAUCAGAUUCUCUGUCCACGGCAGAGAAAAAAGUUGGAAGACUUGUGGGUAGAAGUUUCAGAGUCUGGGCUCGGAAGCAGGUGGCGCAGGUCUGACUUGGCAGUGCCAAUGCCCAGCAGAGCGUGUGACCCUAAGUAAGUGACUUAACUUCUCUGUGCCUCAGUUUCUUCAUCUGUAAAAUGAAGGAAAGAAUAGUGCCUACUGUGGGUUAUUUCACAUAAAGGGUUUAAAGCAGUGUCUCUGGCACAGAGAAAGCUGAGUAAAUGUUAUUAGUAUUAUCUUUGCCGUCAUGAUCAUUGCCAUUGCCUGCCUGCUGAUGUGCAUUUUGAAUACGCAGCCCUGAGUGGCAUGACACAGGUGGCCUGGAAUGACCACAUGCUGAGAAACACACUCUGCAUGGACUAGCCCGGGAUACACCCCCUAAGAUUUAAAGCAGUUUUCCCCGAAGAUUUAUAUAUUUGGAUAUUCAGCAGUGUGGUAAUUAAAACAAUGUUGAAAAGAGCCUGCGUGUUUAUCCUUGGAGGCACGAUUAAGUAGAUGAUAUAUAGCCUUACAGUGGACUAUUAAGGAUCCUUUAAAAGUGGUUUGUUCAGAGAAUUUUUAAUGAAAUGGGGAGACGCUCACCAUAUAACACAAGUGAAAAAGACAAAUCGUACAUACAAUGUAACCUUAAUUUUGAAAAAUACUUCAAUGUAUAGAAAAAGGGACUGGGGAGAAAUAUGCCCAAAGCAUCGCCCCCUCAGUGGCAGCAUGGACAGUUGGUAGGACCUGGGACUGUGCCCUCAGACUGCUUGUUACCAGCUGGACGGAGCAAGUGACCGGUCCUCCCUGGGCCUCACUUCCCUCCGUCGCAGAGUGGAAACACUAGGACAGCGCACCCUCGCGGGAAGCACGCCUUGACCACUGGUUGUUGCGAGCGCUUACAUUCUAUUUUAUAUUGUAUUGUAUUGUAUGUACUAUCGCAGGUUUCUCAGGACGGCAGAGUCGGGAAAGCUUCCAGGAGGGAGAGAGGGAGGGGCCCGGCUUCCCUUGCUCCCUGGUUUCCUGUCCCGUAGACUUGUGUAUGAAGCACGAGAAGCUGGCAGGAGAGUCCACAUAGGAACUCAAGUUGAGGCUGGAAUUGCCUCUGCCAGACAAGAGCCCAGCAGGGCAGGGGUACAGGGGUGGCCGAGGGCACCCACAGAAUCUAACCAUCAGGAACCACAUAUGAUUUCCUGCGGGAAAAGGGGCUUCUUGGUGGUACGAAGUUUGGAACCCUCUUGUGCAUGCCCCCUACAUCUGGUGGCAGAAUCCCUGCUCCUCUGAGACACCCCUAAUGGCUGGCUAUCCCCAGGGUCUGAGAGCUCAGUCCCUCCGCAUUCUCACCCAGCUCUUUUCUCUUUCUUCAUGUCCCCAGCCCAGUGAGACAGGAAGAUGAGGCUGGACUUAGGGGGAGGAAGCAGUUUUUUAGGGCGCACCCUAGACCGUUUUAUUGGCCUCUCUCUGCCUCUCACCCACCCAGGGCACCCAGCUUUGAUGCUGAGGCUCCCAGUGGACCAACCCCAUCAUGGCACUCAUGCCCUGGGUCUAGUCAUCUGGUAACUUGUCUCCUCUCCCCCCAGGUCCUGAGUCCCUCAUAGUCCAGGGUCUGACCCAGAACAGGUGCCAGGUGCGUUCCUUGAAUGAAGCCAUAACUGCUGGGCCCUCUCUGUCCCGAGGUCCCAUGAUUCUAGGGUGAUGACCACUGACAUCCUUCAGCUGAGAGAGAAUCAGAUUCCUCAUGAUGACCUCCUGCUGGCAGCAGACCGAGCAGUGUGUCGUAGUGGUUAGGGUACAGGCUUUGGAGGCAGCCAGACCUGGGUACAGAUCCUGGCUUUGUCACUUUCCAGUUGUGCUAUUUUGGGUGGGUUACUUAAGCUAUUAGAACCUCAGUGUCUUCUUCAUUUGUAAAAGGAAGAGUCAUCCCGCUACAUGAUACACAGUAAACACUCAAGAGAAAGUCACUGUGAUUCUUAGUGUAGUCCAGUGGACACGGGUGGAAUCCUCUAGCCUCCUGGGGUGCUAUUAGGUUGAUGAACCAUAUGAAAUUUUUGACGUAUACAAAUGGCAGUUUCACUUGGCCCGACCUAAUGAUCUGGGUUGGAUUGGGGCCUAAGGAACCCACUGUAUUUACCUGGAAGGGGGUUAAGGGCCACCUCUAUACCGGGCGUCUUACAGACAUUAUGCUAUUUACACUGUCCAACAGCCUGAGAAACAGGCAGUGUGAGGGGCUGGCUGGGGUCAAACUCUUUUUUUAACAAGCACCCCCAAGUUUGAGAACCACUGUGGGGGGUAGGUGUGGUUGUGGCCACGCACUGGCUAAUGAGCUCAUUUGUACACAGUAGAGCACCGACUGCUCACCAGCGCUGUGUUCGGCUUCACCUGUGUGGCCUCAUUUACUUUUCAAAACUGAGACUUGCUGCCCAAAGUCACCUGGCUGGUGAGUGGUGGAGGCAAGAUUCGAACUCAGCUCUGCCCUUCUUGGGAGCCAGGGGAAAUGAACAUAGUUGCUUACAGGCCACAUGACCUCUUUGUCACCUGGUCUUCUUGGUUAGGAAUGGGCAUUCUGGAGUCAAACAAACCUGGGUUCAAAUUCUGACAUCCUCCUUAACCAGCUGGGUAGUUUGGGGCCAGUGACCUAACCUCUCUGAAUGUCAGUUUUCUCUGCUGUGAAAUGGGGUGGUUAAUAAGCUUCAUUCCGUAGGGUUUCCUGAGAACAGAGUGCUGGGGAUUCAGCAAGUGCUCAUUAGUUGUUGGUGCUCAGUUGGAGAACUCCUACUCAUCCCUCAAGACCCAGAGCAGAUGGGAGAAUGGAGGCUGGGAGCCAGGAAGUGACUUGCAGAGUCACACAGCACCGUCGAGCUGUGGAGCCGAGGUUCCAUCCCAGGGACUCUAGAGCCAGUGCCUGUCUUUUCCAUUAAGGAGUGAUUGUUAUUUUUAAUUUUUACCUUACAUGCGUGCAGGAAAAUUCCCAUUUUUGAUGUGGCAUUCUAUGAGUUUUCACUCACGCAUAGGUUCUUGUAACCACCAGCACAGACAGGAUACAGAACGAUUCCGUCACCCCCAAAGAAUUCCCACGGGCUGGCCGGCUCUUAAACGCAGUGGGAUGCUGCUCCCACUUGGAGCUGAAGUUGCCCCUGUGGGCUUCUCUUUUUCUCCAGUGCCUGUUCAGAGAAGCCUCGGGCUGGAGCGUGGACUUUAAUUCCAGGGUCAGGCCCUGUGCAUGCAUUCUCCUCGGUAACAAAGCCGCUUCUGUUUCUGGUGCCCUUGGCAGUUGAGCUGUUCAUUCAGCCAUUUCAAGAGCAUUGUUAUUGUCCAGACACAGAGAGCCUUGAGUGAGGUCACCUUGAUUUAUGACUGUGUGGCCCUGUCUUGGCGUUUUGUCUGUCUGCCUGCCUUGUGUGUCCAUCUGCCUGUUUGCCUCCCACCAGACAUUUCCUGAGAGCUCACUGUCACCAGGCCCUGCCUGGGAGGACUUUGGUGAACCAGACAGUCCUGGCCUCUGCCCCUUGGGGGCUCCCAGGAGAGAGGGGGUGACAGUCACGCAAACAGACCAGCACACCCAGAGAAACAUGUGCUGAGAGAGGGCGGCCCAGGGGCUGUGGGAGCCCAGACGAUGGGGGCCAGACCCAACUUGGAGUCUCCAGCAAGGCUUCCAGAAGGAAGCGACCUCUGAGCUGACACCCGACAGUAAGGGAAGAGUUGCUCAGCAGGCAAAGGGAGAGAAGAUGUUCCCGCCAGAGGCAGUGUCGUGUGUGAGCAGGGCCGGGAGGCAAGGGAGAGGCUGGCCAGGCUGGAGCCGGAGGAGGCCCCCGAAACCCCGCGACGUGCCCUUGCUGUCUUCCCAGCAAGGCCGAAAGCUUCAGGAGCACAGGGGCUUCUGUCUUCCGUGUUAACAGCCGUUUCCCCCGUCCUCGGAAGGGAGCCUGGGACACACGAGGCGUUCGUCUGUAUUUGCUGAAUGAAAGAAUGAGUGAACUGGUGUCUAAGCAGAGGUGAGAGACACGAUUCAACUUUCCCUUAAGAGAGACCACUCAUCUCGCCCACCUCCCGGCGUUGCACCCUCUGCACACAGGUGCAUAGAGACCCUCAGCUCCCCCAGAGCCUUCACUGCAUGCGCCGUGGACAAGAAACAUCAGAACACAGCCCUGAACCGGAGCAUCUUAUCUGCCACUAACACCAUGAGCACUUGUUUUUGGGCCCUGUUCCAAGCAUUCACUUAAUUGAAAAAAUUGAAGAAAAAAGAAAAAUUGGCAGCCGCCACCCGCGGUGUGUCACUUGCCCUGGCGCCUGAGCUGGGUGAUUUCUGACGCUAAUGUGGGGACAGGAAAGCUCUGGCCUGGGGCCGGGAGAGCCAAGGCCUGGCCCUAGAGAGCUGGGAGGAGGAGAUAGGACCUCAGGGGCUGAAGGGCCAGGAUUGAACCCAGCGUGGUCCUCGGUGGAGGGCACGUCACUGCUCUCUGCCCGGGUUUCCUCCCCUCCGACCUGAGGGGAUCCCACUUCCCCAGCAGGCAUCCCUGAGGACCGCAGCUCUGUUUCUAGAGCGCUCAGCACGCGGCCAGCGCAGCAGCUCGUCCCCCGGCACAGUCACUGAUUUUAUCUUGGACCCCCACUCAGCUUGGUCCUGCCUCACUCUGACAUCCCACGGUUGCCUCCUAGGUCUCAGAGGCAUUGUGACGCUUGGUGGCAUUUCUCCAGGAAUAAAUUUAAUGUCCUUUCUCUACGAAGAUAAAUCUGCGCACUUCAGCUCUUCCGGUGGCGAUGCUGUUCUGGGGUGUUGGGAAAUCGAACGAACUCCAGGGUGUUGCAAUCCCAAAAAGAGGCUGGGAGUGCUGACCUACAUGGGCCAGAUGUCGGGCCGACAGCUGGGGAGAGCCGGCAGAUCAGAACCAGAGGGAUCUCGUGGUCUCCACGGGGGGCAGCAGAAUCAUGUUUCCCAUUAGUUCAGCCCUGGACCGGGCCGGCUGCCUCUGCUCUCUCCUGGCUCCCUCUCCCCUCCACCUCUCUCUCUUUCCCUCCCUGCCUCCUACACUCCUCAGACUGUGCUCCUCCACCUUGGGCCCGGGCAGCCUAUUGCCUGAGCGGUGGAUCUGGAGCCCAGCCCGGAAGCUCAGCCAUGUGGGGACUUUAUUGAGGAGGGCGGGAGUCUCACCCACCUUGUGAAGUUCGUUUCUUAAACCGGGGUCUGCAGCCCCCUGGGUGCCCUCGGACGUAUCCCCAGGAGUCACUCUGCAGGAAGUGGAUUUGUCUCGAUCUUGACACUGACACUCCUGCUUGAUUUCAGGGCAGCACGUGCUUUCGUGUUUAGGUUGCUUUGGCUGCCAAGCAGGACGGCCUUCCUUACCCUGGGCUGAGGACUCGCUGCAGAACCUGUGUGGCCCGUGAGCAGAGGCCGCAGCCCCUCGGUGGGCUGCAUGAGAGAGUUUUUCCUCCCUUCACCUAUCAGGGGCCCUGCUGUUUCUCAGAGUGAGGGACAGUGUUCUGGAGCGGAGCUCCCACGUCCUCAGCACCUCCCAGAGGAGCCCGGGGUCUGGCUCCAGCUCUCCUCCCUGAUGUCUGCGUGGCCUGGCACGUCCCUUCCCUGCUCUGACCUCAUAUCCCCAGCUAUAAAAUAAGCAAUCUAAGUUGAAGGAAAGUGGCUUCUGGAGGCCCCAGGACAGGCUGAUCCUCAGAGGGCAAGCUUGCUGUGGCGCAGGCUACAAGACACCUAACGCCGUCCACAAGCCGAUGGGGUUCUUCGUCCUCUCUAUGGCCACU